rnacentral:rRNA from 1 species
ACGGGUGCGUAACACGUGGGCAAUCUGCCAAGAAGUGGGGGAUAGCUCGCCGAAAGGCGAAUUAAUACCGCAUAUGAUCAGGGAAGACAUCUUUCCAACAUCAAAGCCGGGGCAACCUGGCGCUUCUUGAUGAGCCCGCGGCCUAUCAGCUAGUUGGUGAGGUAACGGCCCACCAAGGCGAUGACGGGUAGCUGGUCUGAGAGGACGACCAGUCACACUGGAACUGAGACACGGUCCAGACACCUACGGGUGGCAGCAGUCGAGAAUUUUUCUCAAUGGGGGAAACCCUGAAGGAGCGACGCCGCGUGGAGGAUGAAGGCUUUCGGGUUGUAAACUCCUGUCAUUUGGGAACAAGUGCCAUACGUUAACUGCGUGUGGCUUGAUAGUACCAGAAGAGGAAGAGACGGCUAACUCUGUGCCAGCAGCCGCGGUAAUACAGAGGUCUCAAGCGUUGUUCGGAUUCAUUGGGCGUAAAGGGUGCGUAGGUGGCGUGGUAAGUCGGGUGUGAAAUUUCGGAGCUUAACUCCGAAACUGCAUUCGAUACUGCCGUGCUUGAGGACUGGAGAGGAGACUGGA